UUGUUUUUUCCAGUAUUCUUCUGUGAGUUUAGAGAUUUACUGCUAUAGCAGAAAUGCUAAGUCAUGGCUUGAAACAAUGAUUGAGUACCUGGUGGGAAAGCAGGGCCAACCCACAGAGCUCAGGUGCAUGCAAUAUGCCUGAGUGACCGGAAGGGGUGGAGCCAGGAUCCACCCCUUCCCAUAUCUCAUUUAAGGGUUGGCAGUGGAGAGAAGGCUAUUUUGCUGAAGAUCCUUGUGUACCUCAGGCCUUCUGAAGAGCUGACUGGAGAAAGGAAGAGGAUAAAUGGCAUAAAACUGGCCAACGUCAGAGGAUGUCCUACAUCAAGUUACAUUCCUAGGUUAUUUGUACUGCCUGAAAAGAGUAAAAAUCUCAUUAAAAGAGAAAAGGAGCAAGCUAUUAUUUUUCUGGAAUAUCCCAACAUAGGCUUAGUGCCAAGCAUGCUGGUGUUGAAGAGGAGAAGCUGUUCUACAGCUGUUCUCACCAUGAGGAAAAACAACUCAGAAAGAAGAAAUUGGAAUAUCUAAUCUUUCUCUUUGGCUUCUGCUUUGCCCCUUCCAGAAGGUGGUAACCAAUAACUCCCUCCUUCCCCCCUUGCUCUUCUCUACUCUGUAACCUCCACAUGCAGCAUCCAAACUAUGCCUACUUCAGAGAAGGUCACCUGCGUCUAGAAUUUCCUGAAUUUUCAGCACUUUUAAGGGUUACAUUGUGACACAUUCAGGUUCAUAAGAAACAGAGAAAAGUGAAGCCACAGGAAGAAGUUUCUCAUCUUUAAUUCAGUAAAAACAAAAUAUGUACAACAACUUGAUGCAUUUCCAGGCCUUUGGAGGUUUCGUUGGAAGGCUACCCACUCUAAUGAUUUCCUGUUGUAAUUGCACAAAAAGGAGUUUCCUCCUUAUUCAUUUGCAUCUUUCUUGUCCCACUUUUUUUUUUUUUUCAGUGAGAUGAUUUAGCACUAGUGUCCACUGAACAAAAAAAAUCCUGAUUAAUGUGCAGCAGCUGACAUUAUAGCAUAUACAUUCAUGCAAGUGAUGGAAGAGCCUCACGUAAUUGCAUAAGAAAUUGAAUAAAAUGAUGAAAAAUUUAACACGGUCUUUGUCUUUACACGUUACAUUGGGAUGGUUGGGAGGU
ensembl:lncRNA